GGUAAUGGCUUACCAAGGCUAUGACGCUUAACUGGUCUGAGAGGAUGAUCAGUCACACUGGAACUGAGACACGGUCCAGACUCCUACGGGAGGCAGCAGUAGGGAAUAUUGCGCAAUGGGGGAAACCCUGACGCAGCAACGCCGCGUGGAGGAUGACACUUUUCGGAGCGUAAACUCCUUUUCUUAGGGAAGAAUUCUGACGGUACCUAAGGAAUAAGCACCGGCUAACUCCGUGCCAGCAGCCGCGGUAAUACGGAGGGUGCAAGCGUUACUCGGAAUCACUGGGCGUAAAGGGCGCGUAGGCGGAUUAUCAAGUCUCUUGUGAAAUCUAAUGGCUUAACCAUUAAACUGCUUGGGAAACUGAUAGUCUAGAGUGAGGGAGAGGCAGAUGGAAUUGGUGGUGUAGGGGUAAAAUCCGUAGAUAUCACCAAGAAUACCCAUUGCGAAGGCGAUCUGCUGGAACUCAACUGACGCUAAGGCGCGAAAGCGUGGGGAGCAAACAGGAUUAGAUACCCUGGUAGUCCACGCCCUAAACGAUGUACACUAGUUGUUGGGGUGCUAGUCAUCUCAGUAAUGCAGCUAACGCAUUAAGUGUACCGCCUGGGGAGUACGGUCGCAAGAUUAAAACUCAAAGGAAUAGACGGGGACCCGCACAAGCGGUGGAGCAUGUGGUUUAAUUCGAAGAUACGCGAAGAACCUUACCUGGGCUUGAUAUCCUAAGAACCUUUUAGAGAUAAGAGGGUGCUAGCUUGCUAGAACUUAGAGACAGGUGCUGCACGGCUGUCGUCAGCUCGUGUCGUGAGAUGUUGGGUUAAGUCCCGCAACGAGCGCAACCCACGUAUUUAGUUGCUAACGGUUCGGCCGAGCACUCUAAAUAGACUGCCUUCGUAAGGAGGAGGAAGGUGUGGACGACGUCAAGUCAUCAUGGCCCUUAUGCCCAGGGCGACACACGUGCUACAAUGGCAUAUACAAUGAGACGCAAUACCGCGAGGUGGAGCAAAUCUAUAAAAUAUGUCCCAGUUCGGAUUGUUCUCUGCAACUCGAGAGCAUGAAGCCGGAAUCGCUAGUAAUCGUAGAUCAGCCAUGCUACGGUGAAUACGUUCCCGGGUCUUGUACUCACCGCCCGUCACACCAUGGGAGUUGAUUUCACUCGAAGCCGGAAUACUAAACUAGUUACCGUCCACAGUGGAAUCAGCGACUGGGGUGAAGUCGUAACAAGGUAACCGUAGGAGAACCUGCGGUUGGAUCACCUCCUUUCUA
rnacentral:rRNA from 1 species